rnacentral:rRNA from 1 species
GAUGAACGCUGGCGGCGUGCCUAAUACAUGCGAGUCGAGCGAACGGACGAGGAGCUUGCUUCUCUGAUGUUAGCGGCGGACGGGUGAGUAACACGUGGAUAACCUACCUAUAAGACUGGGAUAACUUCGGGAAACCGGAGCUAAUACCGGAUAAUAUUUUGAACCGCAUGGUUCAAAAGUGAAAGACGGUCUUGCUGUCACUUAUAGAUGGAUCCGCGCUGCAUUAGCUAGUUGGUAAGGUAACGGCUUACCAAGGCAACGAUGCAUAGCCGACCUGAGAGGGUGAUCGGCCACACUGGAACUGAGACACGGUCCAGACUCCUACGGGAGGCAGCAGUAGGGAAUCUUCCGCAAUGGGCGAAAGCCUGACGGAGCAACGCCGCGUGAGUGAUGAAGGUCUUCGGAUCGUAAAACUCUGUUAUUAGGGAAGAACAUAUGUGUAAGUAACUGUGCACAUCUUGACGGUACCUAAUCAGAAAGCCACGGCUAACUACGUG